rnacentral:rRNA from 1 species
UUGCAGUUAAAAAGCUCGUAGUCGAAUUCGGGCCCGGCCUGCGGAAUAGUCUUAAAAAGCUUUUAGCGUGUCGGGCCCAGUCUUGUCGCCACAAGGUCUGUUCUUAAUUGAACAGCCAGCGGGGCGACAUUUUUUACUGUGAAUAAAAUAGAGUGUUCAUGGCAGGCCUUUGGAAGGCUUAGAUACCUCAGCAUGGAAUAAUAGAAUAGGACUUCCGGUUCUAUUUUGUUGGUUUUUGGAGCCGAAGUAAUGAUUAAUAGGGAUAGUUGGGGGCACUCGUACUCCGUUGUCAGAGGUGAAAUUCUUGGGUUUACGAAAGAUAAACUUC